GGGCCUGCACACGCGGUGGAGUAUGUGGCUUAAUUCGAUGCAACGCGAAGAACCUUACCUGGCCUUGACAUGUAGUGGACUGGGUGCGAAAUCACCCUUUUCUUCGGAACUGCUACACAGGUGCUGCAUGGCUGUCGUCAGCUCGUGUCGUGAGAUGUUGGGUUAAGUCCCGCAACGAGCGCAACCCCCGUGUCCUGUUGCCACCCGGAUGAGAAUCCGGAGCACUCUGGACAGACUGCCUGGUUUCAACCAGGAGGAAGGUGGGGAUGACGUCAAGUCAGUAUGGCCCUUACGGCCAGGGCUGCACACGUACUACAAUGCCUAGUACAAUGGGACGCAAGACCGCGAGGUGGAGCAAAUCCCCAAAACUAGGCUCAGUUCAGAUUGUAGGCUGCAACUCGCCUACAUG
rnacentral:rRNA from 1 species